UGGAACCGAGCAAUACCUCUCUGGGAGC
rnacentral:piRNA from 1 species